ensembl:snoRNA small nucleolar RNA SNORA17
UUUGCCCCUAGAAGCCUUGCAGGUGUGGCUGUUGUGUUACAUGAGUGUCAAUAGGUGGCAAAGAGGAGAGGCUAUAUCUAUGCUCAGUGCUCUGACCUAUGAACAUCUGAAUGACUAGUAGCCUAACAGUC